AAAAGGCACCUCACUAAAACAAUUGUCUCUGGGAUGUUUUCUCUUCAGGUUUUUCAGUUGUUUCUGAGUCCUGGCUGUAGAACUGUUCAUAUCAUCUUUGGGAUCCCUUGCAGCUGAAGCAGAAAUUACAUGCUUCUCAGCAGAAGGCAACUCUGUUCCUGACUCACUGCGGAGGCUUUGCUGACCCAAGCGGAGGCAGAGAAAUACCUUGCAGAAGUUCAAGCCCAGGAGCAGCAAAGUUGAGCGCAAAAGGAGAUGAGAACGAUAUUUAAAAGAUGAAAUGCUGCAGCUGAAGAGAAGGCACUUGUGACUGACAACUAAAUUUCUUCUCCACAACCUGCCAUCAAACCCCCAUCUGGAAUUUUAGAGAUGACAGAAGGGAGCUUUCUUUGCCAUUGUAGUUAACAGCAAUGUGACUGCUCUUAGCACAAGUGGAAAAGAAUUAAUUACUUUGAAAGCAAGAUGAAGGUAGACAGAAUAACUAUGGUGAGAGAAAUCAUCAUAUAAGAAAAUAGACAUCUGACGCAUGAAAGGAAUUAAAUGAAGCACCAGCUGAAAGAAGGAAUGAAGGGAAGUUCUAAAUUGAAAGAAAAAGAAGUAUCUCAACGAUGCAGAGAGGCAGCACUGAAGAGGCUUUAGAGAAAGCUACCAUGCCUAAGUAUGAGGCCAAAAGGGGGAAUGUUUACUGGAAUGUGACAGAAGAGAAGAGGAGAGAAUCUAUGCUACUUUGGGUGACACCUACUGCUGACACUUAAGGUACAACAGUGAAAAAGCCUGAUAGCGCUGAUGGCCCAUCAGCAAGAGACAAUGGACUGUAAAAGAGCUUAGUCUUCCUGUGAACCUGUGGGUCAGCCUGUGAACAAUGGCUACAGGGGCCCUACAGAGGCAUGUGACCAUGAUACUGGAACCCAUCUUGAAUUCUGUACUUUUCCACGAGAAGUUAGUGGGGGUGGGGGGUGUCAAACUACGAAACAAAGGACUCCCACUUUAUGCAAAUCCUAUUUAAGAGUUGGGAGUGAGGUAAUCCAGGUUGUCAGGUCUUCCCUGCUUCCCCACCCAAGAUAACUGUGGAAAACAACUAAGACUGAACUGGGAGAAAGAACUGGAACCAGGCUGGAAGGGCGUCUGGCCUGUGAAGAAGAUUAUUAGAACCACGUUUAGGGAUAUUGUAUAAAAUUGCUGCACCAAGCUCAAGCCCUGGACAAGAGCAGCUGAGUGCACUUUGCCCCAUUGACCUAUAAGAGAGAGUGCCUGCCAGAAAAAGAGAGAAAUUUGCUGAAUAUUUCUGAAUUCCUGCUGAAGAUUAAGAGAAGAGAAGAGAUGGUUACAAGCAAAUAUAGCAUUUUAUACAAGAUGGAAAAAGACCCAAGUGUGACCCUAGGAGCUUCUCAAUGCCAACUGGUGAAGGGUUCAUAGUUCUGUCAGCAACAUGACCAACUCACUACACCUAACAUAUUGCUUUCAUAGUAUUUCCAAAAAGCAUCUUGUGAGGUAUCAAAUGAAAGUCAGUAGCACACUGAUGAUUUAUAUUAUCAUGCAAUGUUUGUUUUAACACUCUGUGAGGAAUUAUGUAUAUCUACUGAUACUAAGUUUUAAAGUCUGUAACGAAAGGAAGAAACAAGUUUUCUUCCAGACAGGAGGGAAGGUAGUUAUCUCUGUCAAAUGUAAAUGUAAUAUUUUCAUCCUCUGGACAGAUGAUCUAAUCUCCCUCAUAGAUUUCUACUACAAUUUCAACAAUCACCACCAUCAAAUUCUCUUUAGAACACUCAUGGACCAGGAUCAACUUCCUGGACACCAUGCUUCAACAGUGGAACCCUACAGACAAUUUUAUACAAAAAACCCACAGUUCACAAUACCUAGCUUUACAGUCCAAGUAACCACCCCACACAUACCAAAAAAUUUGUUAUCUACAGCCAGGCAUUCAGAUACCACAGAAUAUGGUCUGAGGAAUAAGUCCAGGAUACACAUCUUAACAUACUUAAAACUACCUUCAGACACCAGAGAAGGAGAUUACAUCAUGUGUCCCAAAAACCCCAAGAGAACCCACUUCAAUACAGGACCAACAAAAUCCCUCUGACCACACACUCAAUGGGGACCACAUCCUGAAAGAAAAACACACACUCUUUUUCUGGUCUUCAGACAACCCCACAACCUCAUCAAGUUCAUCACAGACCAGGACACACCAGAUCCGAGGCACCAGGCACUAUUGUAACAACAGAUGCAAAACCUGCAGGUAUAGCUCAACUAUAAUGAUGACCAAUUACCCCCCCACACAGCUGUCAGGAUCCAUGGGUCCUAUGCAUGCCUAUCUCCACAUGUGGUGUACCACUGUACCUCAUCCAUGCACUAAAUGUUCCAGUAACAACUAUGUGGGUAAACCAGACAAUCACUAUACUUUUGAAUGAACUCAGAAAAAUGAUAAAGGACAAAAACGCUGUAUGCCCCAUGGACUUCUCACAAAACCAUCACUCCACGUCUGACCUCUCAGUCUUCAUCUUCAAAGGAAACCUGCACAACAAUUUCCAAAGAUGAGUCCAGGCACUUAAAUUCAUAACUGCUAAAUGCGAAAAAAACCCAAACCCAUGAUCCUAAUAAAGACACCGUAUUUAUGACUUCUUAUAACAAUCUGUAACCCGCUAAGCCACCUUCUUUGUCUUAUGACUGCAGAGGGGUUAACUGGCCACUUCACCUUGAAUGGUGUCUCAGAAUGUGUGUUAGCUGCUUAUGCUGAAUAAUUUGUUCCACCUUGUAUUUAGCUGUGACACUCCAAGUACGUUUCCCAGACCUGAAGAAGGGCUC